CUGAUGCCUCCAGGUGACACUUUGUGUGACGCUUCCCCCAGAGGUAUCUGCAUUUUAAUGAAGGUAUUCUGAGAAAGUAAGAUCUUAACACCCAAGGGAAGGAAUUCCUAAAGGUGGAAUUUCCCAGUCAACAAAGAAAAAUAAACUUAAAAAGAAAAGCCUCAAAAUAUCUCAAUAUCAACAUGGAGUGGGCUUGAACACCCCCUGCCCGGGGCAGACGCCCUGCCUGUGUGCCUGCGUCUCCCCAUGAUUCUUCUUCUCUGGGAUCUUUGUUCUACUUCUGUGUUUUCCUUCAUGUGAUCAUCCCAGCAUUUGCUUUUCUCCUUUGCCUUCAUGAGAGCAUCGAGAUGAAGUAGAAGGUGCCCUCAGCAGACAUCAGGACACCCACCCUCUAGUCCCAGCUCAGACGCAAGUCUGGAGAAAUACAAUCCAGGACACUUUCCCAAGGCGAAGACUCCCAGCAUGAAGAGGAAAGGCAUCUGGUCUCCCCAUUCAUCUACAGCUGGAGCAUCUUACCUCACAUUCCAGGCAAGAGCUUGUCCAGCCUAUGCUUGGAUCCUUCCAAGAACCCACUUCUUCCCAAUGCAGACCCUUUCGUCCAUGAACAGUUCUGAGUUUCAAUCUCUGGGAUCUGGCCUCUGUGCAGACAUAAGGAUAUUGAAAGAAAUGACAGCAUCCACCAGCCCAACCUCCUGCUGGCACAGUCACCUGAAGCCUUGUGAAAAUCUCCGUUGCAUCAGCCCCAGUAUCAAAGCCUCAGUGAGCCUCACUUUGCUAGGAGUGGUGCCACACCUCCCAUCCCUGGACAGAGGGAGGGCUCCAGGAGAACUGAAGCGUGUCAGUCCCUGUGUCCUGGAAGGAGAGGAACUGAGGGCAUAGUGCUAGGCACUGUGUUAUCGUGGGGCUUCCAGCUACAGAAACGGUGCCUGAAGAUGGAAGCUGGAGGCCAGGACCAGGUGGACAGCUCCUAAUCAAGUAGCCAGCGAACAACAAAUUGGGCAUGCCACAUUAAAAAGAAAAAGAAAAGACCAUUCAAGUUGGAGAUAAGUAAGCUAUAAGUCAGUUAAGGGAGAAGAGGAAAAAGCAGGUUGAAAAUGGACAGUGAAUGUA
rnacentral:lncRNA from 1 species